rnacentral:rRNA from 1 species
UACGUAGGGGGCGAGCGUUGUCCGGAAUCAUUGGGCGUAAAGCGCGUGUAGGCGGCCCGGUAAGUCCGCUGUGAAAGUCCAGGGCUCAACCCUGGGAUGCCGGUGGAUACUGUCGGGCUAGAGUGCGGAAGAGGCGAGUGGAAUUCCUGGUGUAGCGGUGAAAUGCGCAGAGUAUCAGGAGGAACACCAAUUGCGAAGGCAGCUCGCUGGGACGUUACUGACGCUGGAGACGCGAAAGCGUGGGGAGCAAACAGG